UGGGGAAUAUUGGACAAUGGGCGCAAGCCUGAUCCAGCCAUGCCGCGUGUGUGAAGAAGGCCUUCGGGUUGUAAAGCACUUUCAGCGAGGAGGAAGGGUUAGUCGUUAAUAGCGGCUAAUUUUGACGUUACUCGCAGAAGAAGCACCGGCUAACUCUGUGCCAGCAGCCGCGGUAAUACAGAGGGUGCAAGCGUUAAUCGGAAUUACUGGGCGUAAAGCGCACGUAGGCGGUUUUUUAAGUCAGAUGUGAAAGCCCCGGGCUCAACCUGGGAAUUGCAUUUGAAACUGGGGAACUAGAGUGUGUGAGAGGGGGGUAGAAUUCCAAGUGUAGCGGUGAAAUGCGUAGAGAUUUGGAGGAAUACCAGUGGCGAAGGCGGCCCCCUGGCACAACACUGACGCUCAGGUGCGAAAGCGUGGGGAGCAAACAGGAUUAGAUACCCUGGUAGUCCACGCCGUAAACGAUGUCUACUAGCUGUUCGUGUCCUUGUGAUGUGAGUAGCGCAGCUAACGCACUAAGUAGACCGCCUGGGGAGCACGGUCGCAAGAUUA
rnacentral:rRNA from 1 species